rnacentral:lncRNA from 1 species
CCUCACUUGUCUCCCAUUAUUUCUUCCUCUUGGUGAUGAGAUCCUUUUUGGAGAUUAAUGCCAAAGGGGGAGAAAUAUUAGGGGAGAGUGUAAGGGAGGAGAGAUUGAUAUGCGGAUUUUAAAGGGGUUAAAGAGAGGCAUAUAAGAUUUUUCAAUUUUUUGUGUGGAAUGUGCAAAGAUAGUUUAAAUUGAUGCUCUUGAUAAGGACCAUUUAUGCUAGUGUGUGAUAUUCAUGCCUAUUGGGGGAGAGUGUAAGGGAGGAGAGAUUGAUAUGUGGAUUUUAAAGGGGUUAAAGAUAGGCAUAUGAGAUUUUUCAAUUUUUUGUGUGGAAUGUGCAAAGAUAGUUUAAAUUGAUGCUCUUGAUAAGGACCAUUUAUGCUAGUGUGUGAUAUUCAUGCCUUGAAUGAUGUAUUGUUUAUUUUUCUCUGAAGUGCAUGAAUUGUCAUGAG